rnacentral:tRNA from 1 species
GGAUUGUGGCUCAGUGAUAGAACACUUGCCUAGCAUGUGUGAGGCACUGGGUUCGAUCCCCAGCACCA